CUUCACACGCCAAGCCCUAAUUUCCCUUCUGUCUUUUGUUUCUCUUUCAUUUAUGUUCCUCGAAGCUCUCUCCAAUCCACUGCCAGCUGCUCCAUUCCACCGCCUACUCGUUUGCCCACCUAUCCAUCCCCACUUCACCAAAGCUUCCCCCAUCGAUUUGUUGACUCCUCACAUUUUUCCUUUGCCAACCAAAGCCCAGCCCACCUUUUACACGUCUCUACCCAUCUCCACGGCCAACUCCACGACAUCUUCACAUGUGGCUAGCUCCCUCGAUUUUGCCUAGCAAUAGUCCGCAAGAAUCCCCACCGAAACAAUCGCGCAAAGUCAGCCUCGGCUCACCUUGUACAGCAGCAGUUUUCAGCUUGGACAGAAACAUGCGAGGCCGAUUUUGGCCCAAUCCGGGCCCUCGUUGGUGCUGUCGCUUUGAAGUUUAUCAGCCACUGUCGCAUCGUCG
rnacentral:lncRNA from 1 species